AUGUGGCAUAAAGCACCAUGUUCAAGUAGGGAUUACAUUGGGGUACGGGAGAGUGGACCGUGUAAAAGAGAUGAGGAUGGUGAUGUUGAUGAAGACGAUCACCGCGGUGAUGAUUCCCCUCCCGAUGGCACUCCGGUGCCACCAAGAGAGAGGAGGAGAGGUUAUCCCCCUUGUGCUUCCUCCUCAAUGGCUUUCCCCCUCUGGUCCUUGGCCUUCAUGGCGAUGAGGGCCCCUCCGAGAUCCUCCUCCAUGGCCUCCGGUGAUGAUGGCCCCCUCCGGCAGGGUGCCGGAGAGGGCCUAGAUUGA
rnacentral:rRNA from 1 species